CGUGGACCAAGUUCACUUGGCAGGUAACAGGAGCGACGCUAGGAGGAAGUCCUGAAGGAUGUCAGAUACCAUAUUUCCUUUAUUCCUGCAUACUUUUCAUCUCAGUACACCAGGAUAUAUUUACCACGAGGUCUGACUGACACCCACCAAACAUUCUGGCCGACAAACUGCAGAAACUGGCAUAUUCUCAGGAAGGUCCCUCGUGAGAUCUUUAAAGUAGAUUAGAUGAGUAAAACAUUCAGACUACUGCUCUAGUGACCAUCAGUCACUCAUAAAUUCUCUCAUUCCCAGCAAUCAAGAAACAGCUGUUAAAAACCAGGAAUCUUCCUAGUAGCCGAUCUAAAAUAUCUCCAAGCCGGCCAGAGGAGCUUCACAACUGCUGCUUCUCCUUCCCCUCCCCCAUCCCGAGUGCCAGCCUGGCAGGAAUAAAGAUGACCCAGGAAGGGGCGGGCAAGAGUAGGGUAACGGAUUUGGUGAAAGUAGAGAUGAACACUCUUCUCAUUUCUACUAUAGAGGAAUACCAACUAACCAGAUUUCUCCUUUCCUCUCCCAUCCCCACCCCCUCCGAACACAUUAUUAACUUCUGCAGUCUGGUGGUCUGGCAUUUCCAGAGUUGGUGACCUCAGCAGUCCUAAACCCUUUCUCAAAGAUUCUGAACCAGGCACUUCCUUUCCGUGCCACAGUUCGAGGCCCAUCCCACGGUUAGAUUCAGCUUGCCUUUACCUUGUAACCCGCUCAGACACCGCUGCUCCUAGGGUCAAGUUCAAGAUGAAGGUGCCCUCCUACCCUCCCCUAGCUGACUCCAGCAGGGACAGCGCUACCGAUACGAGUCUCAUCACCAGAGGCACAGUGAUCCCGGGCUGCCAAAACUGGGCUGGAGGGGAAGACUGUGGCCGAGCCCAGCGUCCUCCGAACCCCUGGCCGCGGCGCGGUAUUUCUACCUGGGCACCGCCGCAUUUCCUCCCGGAGCCUUACACAAUAAGUCAAAGCGAAAGCCAGGAUAGGGUUCCCCAGCACCCCGCAGGAAUCCCAGGCAGUCGAUUCAAGCCAGGGGAGCGCUCAGCCCACUCCACACCGGAAGCCUUUUGGACCAGCCGUGGUCACAGAAAGAGCAACUAGGACUGCUGCUGCCUUUUGUGGCCUGCGGAAAUUGUGCACGGGUCACCCCAAUGGUGUGUCUGGAGCUGGGAAUACAGAAGUUGCAAUAAAUGGAUUUAUUGGCAACCCCUAACCUUGCUGUGGCAAACCCUCCUUUAACUGUGUUUUAAACAUGUUCCCCAUAAAAAUUUCAACCUCAUGCAGAGCUUCCCAAUAUAAAGAUACCCCCAGAGAGGAGUGUCCAUAUUUAGACUUCUUAUGAAAAGGGACAGGAAGCAAAACGCCACACAAUCUUCCUACAUAAAUGAAAAAUGACAAAUUCGCUGGAUUUAGUUUCAUAGUUUCAAAGGCCUGAUUAUUAUUGUGCUGAUAUUUGAGCAGUAAACAUAUCAGCAGCCAGAAGUCUUCCUCAAACAAAGCAGGUU
rnacentral:lncRNA from 1 species